CUUGUAGGCGGUUUGUCGCGUCUGCUGUGAAAUUCCGGGGCUUAACCCCGGACUUGCAGUGGGUACGGGCAGACUAGAGUGUGGUAGGGGAGACUGGAAUUCCUGGUGUAGCGGUGAAAUGCGCAGAUAUCAGGAGGAACACCGAUGGCGAAGGCAGGUCUCUGGGCCACUACUGACGCUGAGAAGCGAAAGCAUGGGGAGCGAACA
rnacentral:rRNA from 1 species